AUUCCAUCAGAGGCAGUUAUCGUCCAAGUACAAUCGGCAUUGUUUGGAUAAUUGUCUGGAUAAUUAGGUGAUGUGAUUGGCUGACUGGUUGAAGUGGCAACAGCAUUGAAACCACAUGAAGAUGCUUGUGUUGUUGAUUCUGGCGUUGUUGUUUCUGGUGUUGUUGUAGAAUUGACUUC